GACUCGGUCUCCCUAGCAGUCUCUGGUGUUUGUUUUGGGGUGAUUUUACACACUUGGGUACAACAUUUGGUGCGUUGGCCGGGAAAUCCCCCUCCCUGCCCCAGAGCUCCUGGGACACCAACACGUUGGGCCUGACCACUGGCUGUAUCUUCUCAGGUUCUGGUGACUCGAACCCCAGAAGAAGAAAAGCCGAGACGAACCAUGACCUCACCCUCAGCACCCCCCUACCCGGUUUUGCAGGAAGGAGUGGAUGAGGAUCUCCUCUUUCCCCCUCUACCUUACCGAUCCCCUCCAACUCCCUCUGACCCUGCUCCUAAUGUCCCAUUGCCACCACAGCCAUCUUCCUCUGCUCCAUCCCCUUCCGUUGAAGGAGGCCCAGCGUAUGGGACCCGUGGCUGAAAGGGCACCACCCCAGACUCCACAAUGUUCCCCUUGCGAGCCAUGGGACCUAUAGACGAGGCAGGAAACCAGCCUCAUCAUUAUUGGCCCUUUACCUCUUCUGACCUUUAUAAUUGGAGAUCUCAAAACCCCUCCUACUCAGAAAACCCCAAGGGCCUCAUUGGGUUGUUAGAAACUGUACUCUUUACUCACCAACCCACUUGGGAUGAUUGUCAGCAAUUGUUGCAGGUUCUGUUUACAACUGAGGAGCGAGAACAGAUCCUGCUGGAAGCACGACAGGAGUACCCACCAUGAACCCCGCUGACAUCGAUGCCGGAUUUCCCCUUGUCUGCCCCAAUUGGGAUUAUAACACAGGAGAAGAUAAACAAGAAGUUCAGCCGCUAUUAAAGUUUCAGGCAUCACCCUGGAGUCAAGGCCAGCUCUGAAGAAUCCUCAGCUUGGUGAGGUGAUCCAGAUCCAGAUGAUCAGCUCGACUAAUCCUCAAAAAGACUCUGACUCCAGAGAUCUCCA